rnacentral:rRNA from 1 species
CAAUAGCGUAUAUUAAUGUUGUUGCAGUUAAAAAGCUCGUAGUUGGAUUUCUGGUGGGAGCGGCCGGUCCGCCGUAAGGUGUGUACUUGGUUGUCUCCUGUCAUCCUUGUGGGAACUGCUCUGGCAUUAAGUUGUCGGGGUUAGGGAACACAUCGUUUACUGUGAAAAAAUUAGAGUGUUUAAAGCAGGCUUAUGCCGUUGAAUACAUUAGCAUGGAAUAAUAAGAUAGGACUUUGGCGUCUAUUUUGUUGGUUUGCACACCAAGGUAAUGAUUAAUAGGGAUAGUUGGGGGUAUUCGUAUUUCAUUGUCAGAGGUGAAAUUCUUGGAUUUAUGAAAGACGAACUUCUGCGAAAGCAUUUGCCAAGGAUGUUUUCAUUAA